rnacentral:rRNA from 1 species
UACGUAGGGGGCAAGCGUUGUCCGGAUUUAUUGGGCGUAAAGCGCUCGCAGGUGGUCCGAUACGUCGUGCGUGAAAGCCCCCGGCUCAACUGGGGAGUGUCGUGCGAUACGGUCGGACUGGAGGCCAGUAGGGGGAUGCGGAAUUCCGGGUGUAGUGGUGGAAUGCGUAGAGAUCCGGAGGAACACCAGCGGCGAAGGCGGCUGGUUGGGCCUGAUCUGACGCUGAGGUGCGAAAGCGUGGGGAGCGAACAGG